rnacentral:rRNA from 1 species
AGUGAACGCUGGCGGUAGGCCUAACACAUGCAAGUCGAACGGCAGCACAGGAGAGCUUGCUCUCUGGGUGGCGAGUGGCGGACGGGUGAGGAAUACAUCGGAAUCUACUCUGUCGUGGGGGAUAACGUAGGGACACUUACGCUAAUACCGCAUACGACCUACGGGUGAAAGCAGGGGACCUUCGGGCCUUGCGCGAUGGAAUGAGCCGACGUCGGAUUAGCUAGUUGGCGGGGUAAAGGCCCACCAAGGCGACGAUCGGUAGCUGGUCUGAGAGGAUGAUCAGCCACACUGGAACUGAGACACGGUCCAGACUCCUACGGGAGGCAGCAGUGGGUAAUAUUGGACAAUGGUGGCAAGCCUGAUCCAGCCAUACCGCGUGGGUGAAGAAGGCCUUCGGGUUGUAAAGCCCUUUUGUUGGGAAAGAAAUCCAGCUGGCUAAUACCCGGUUGGGAUGACGGUACCCAAAGAAUAAGCACCGGCUAACUUCGUGCCAGCAGCCGCGGUAA